rnacentral:rRNA from 1 species
GAUGAACGCUGGCGGCGUGCCUAAUACAUGCAAGUCGAGCGGACGGACGAUGAUCUUGCGUCUCUGAUGUUAGCGGCGGACGGGAGAGUAACACGUGGAUAACCUACCUAUAAUACUGGGAUAACUUCGGGAAACCGGAUCUAAUACCGGAUAAUAUUUUGAACCGCAGGGUUGAAAGGUGAAAGACGGUGUUGCUGUCACUUAUAGAUGGAUCCGCGCUGCAUUAGCUAGUAGUUAAGUUAACGGCUUACCAAGGCAACGAUGCAUAGCCGAACUGAGGGGGUGGUCGGCCACCUUGGAACUUGGACAGCGUCCAGACUACUACGAGAGGCAGCAGUCGGGAAUCUUCCGCAAUGGGCGAAAACCUGACGCAGCAACGCCGCGUGAGUGAUGAAGGUCUUCGGAUCGUAAAACUCUGUUAUUAGGGAAGAACAGAUGUGUAAGUAACUGUGCACAUCUUGACGGUACCUAAUCAGAAAGCCACGGCUAACUACGUG